rnacentral:lncRNA from 1 species
AUUUUAUAUAUAUAUAUAUAUAUAUACAAAGGGAGAGAGAGAAAAUAAUUUUCCCUUUUUUUUCUUCUUUACAGACGUUGUAGGAGCAGGUACGGCGCAUUCGAAUGAAAUUUGCUCUUUGUUUUUGUAAGGUCUUAUUUUAAAUACUUAAUUUAUAUUUUGUUAUUGCAGUUCUUAGUGGAGCAGAUGUUUUUGUAACUGGAGGUAAGAUUACAUAUUUCUUCACUAUGUCCUGAAAAAACAUUUAAACAUGAAUCUGGAUCUUUCAAAAACCUUAUAUUGCCGAACUCAAAAUUAAAAAAUAAAUAAAUAUGUAAAAUAAAAAUAAAAUAAUAAAUAAAAAAUAAUAAAUAAAAUUAAUAAUUUACAAGUAAACUCUCGCGUUUGUCAGCAUUGAAAAUAUUAAAUUUUAAGGUAAGACAUAGGUUUAUAGAUAAUAAUGUAUGUUAAUUAUGAUAAGACAUAUUAGACCACAUACUUAUAAUAAUGAUAAGACAUGUUAAUUAUUAUAAGACAUAAUAAAGCACAUACUUUAAUAAUGAUAAAACCUGUUAAUUAAGAUAAGACAUAUUAUACCAAAUAAACUCAGAAAAACUAAUUUUCUGGUUACUAACAGAUUAUUCGGCAAUCUUUGUCGAUACGAAUACCUUAAGAAUGUUCUAAUGUUUAAGAAUGUUUUCAUAUUUGCUGCGGCUACUUCUGCAAUUUUAAGACUUAACAAAAAUAUUCUCAUUAGCUGAAGUAAAAUUUAUGUAAUUUUUUUCUAGCUUUUUAAUUAUUUUUAUUUUUUCAAUCUUGUUUAAAAAAUUAAAAUUCAAAAAAUAAAUUAGUAGUUUUGGUAGUGUAUAUAUAACCCUCUUGGGGGAAAUUGACAUGAUUUUUCUUCCAUUUUUGGGUGAUUUUAUUUCAAACCUAAGCAUCACUAAAUUAAGACGAAACAUGAAUUAAUAAUAAAUUCAUAAAAACAAAAACAAAUUAAUGCGAAAAAUAAAUACAAAAUUAGCAAAUACAAAAGAUAAUUAAAUAAAGAAAAGAAUAAAAAUAAAAAAGAGAAAACUUCGCAUAAGCAGCAAGCAUAUAAAAGUUAGUUCAGAAUAUAUAGAAAACAAGAAAAAAAAUUACAGAAAAAUGAAAGGAAAAGAAGAAAAGUAUUAAGAAUAAAAUAGCAUUAUAAGCGAAAAAUUCUUAAAAAAUUCUAUAAAAAUCCGGGUACAAAAUUAUAUAAUCUUUUCAUCAGCUCACACAGCUAUAUCCGCAAAACGGAGUGCUUUCAAAUAUUGUACCAAUAUGGCCAAGGCAAAAUUUAUCAAUACAAUAGUGUGAGGAGCACUCAAAAAAUAUUUGAAACGAAAUAAAACAUAUUAAGUAAUAAAUAUCGAGUAAAAAAAGAAAAUGUAAUGCUAACAGAAAACAGAACAAAGCACAAAACGAAAUCUAUAAAUCUGGAACAAAAUCUAUAUACGGGAAACAUUUCAAGUAUGAUUUAAUAUAUUUUCGUAAUAAGAUUGCCAGAUUACAAAAUAAUAAAACAGAAGAGAAAACUGAGCUAAAAGCGUGACUGGAGAGAUUUCGUUUUAUAGCUCGUUCUUACUGCAGUAUUGAAGCGCGUUUGAUUACCAAGGAUUAGCCCGAAAAUGGAUGUGAGCAGAGUAAUAUUAUACUGGAUAAUUUGAAGGAGUUCAUAAUUACUAAGAUUGUUAUUUAUAUUUACAAUUGUAAUGAUUUUAGAAAAUUAACAUCCAUGAAAAAAAGAGAGAAAGAAACAUGAAUUGCCGGUUUCGCACAGAUUUUCAGCCACGAAUUUGUCUGAAAUAGAUUUUCAUACGCUAAACUUGGCUAAAUAUUGAUUUCGUUUUCGGCCUUGUUCCGUUUUUUCUUUGCAUUCAUUUCUGUUUUUUGCAUAUUGUAUAUAUUACUUAAUGUAUUCU